rnacentral:misc_RNA from 1 species
GAUGAAGAACGUAGCGAAAUGCGAUACGUAAUGUGAAUUGCAGAAUUCAGUGAAUCAUCGAAUCUUUGAACGCAUAUUGCGCUCUCUGGUAUUCCGGAGAGCAUGCUUGUUUGAGUAUCAGUAAACACCUCAACUCCCUUUUCUUUUUUGAAAUUGGAGCUGGACUUGAGUGAUCCCAACGCUUUCUUCCAAGAAAGUGGCGGGUUGCUUGAAAUGCAGGUGCAGCUGAACUUUUCUCUGAGCUAUAAGCAUAUCUAUUUAGUCUGCCUAAAAAACAGAUUAUUACCUUUGCUGCAGCUAACAUAAAGGAGACUAGUUCUUGUGCUGACUGAUGCAGGAUUCACAGAGACAGCUUCGGCUGACUUUGUAAACUCGAUCUCAAAUCAAGUAAGGCUACCCGCUGAACUUAAGCAUAUCAAUAAGCGGAGGA